GCCGCCGCAGCAGCCGCCGGAGGAUGAGCAGCAGGCCCUAGACGCGGUGGACGUGCUCUGUUUGCUUCGCCUGAAGGACCAGAUGAAGCAGCAGUUAUUGGAGUGCAGCGCUGUAGCUGACGCCGG